AGUCCAGGUAAUGGAGCAGAGACUGGAGCAGAGACAAGUUGUUCCCACUGAGCUCUCCUCAGAUUACAGAUUGGUGAUACAUCACAGGGGCUCAUGAAUGUGUCUUAAGCUGGGUCAUUGAAGUGGAAUGUUUUCACAAGACCUCCUCCACUUGCUACUGUGUCCGGAAUUGGUGGGUUCUUGGUCUCACUGACUUCAAGAAUGAAGCCGCGGACCCUCGCGGGAGUGGCAAAUCAAAGGCAUUGCAGCCUCUUUCAUCACUGCCGAUUGCUGAUGCCAACCAUGUGCCAAGUGCUUAAUACGUCACCUUAAAUCUUCUCAUCCACCCUCAGAGCUGCAGCAUCAACCCAGUGCCCUGACUUUCAAGACGACUAUGAAAACACCCCAACUGCUGCUAAAUUACCAGCAACAAGGAUCUGACAUUCUUAUUCAAAAGAAAGAACACCGAAAUUGACCUUACCCUGACAAUAUGAUGGCUGAAGGAUUUAUGAUCACUUAUAACAUUUGAAAUUGAGGCGGAACCUGAAGAAUAAGACUCUGGUGAAAGGUCCUAUUUAUGCUUUUGAUGUCUUUCACUUGGACAUUUACCACAUGCCUAUUGGUAGGUUUGUUACAUAGGUCAGUUAAGGUGAUACAAGAAUAAAUAAAACACUAUCCCUAUCCUUUAAUAUCAUUUAUUUAUGGGGUCAAUCACAGAUUUUCAUUUUUCAAAAUCUUUGAUAAAUGUCAGAAUUAUGUUUUUUAAUAUUUUUACAGAAUUAUUACAAUAUAUGGUAGAGGAUGGAAGGCAAGGUAGUAUGAAACGGAAAAGAUAUUUUGAAUUAAGGUAUUUGGACCUGGAUUAAUAUUUUUGCUUUGGUCUUUAUUAGCUGAGUGACCUUGAGAAAGUUCUUCUACUAAAAAAGAACAAAGAUAAUAAUUACUUCAUGAAAUUGCUGUAAAAAACACAUAACAAGUAUAUCCAGACUCAACAGUGUAUGCUCAAAAAUGCAGAUCCUUUUUCCCUUACCUGCAAAUAAAGUCUUACAGUAAUACAGUGGGGGUAAAGGUUUAAACUGGUGGAUUCAAGAAGGGCUAUAGAAAGAGGUAGCAUCUUAAUAGGGGAAGGAGAGGAUCCAAGAAAUCAGAUCCAUUUUCUACAAAAAGAAAUGGGAAGACAGAUAAUUCAAGAAGAAAAGUUUACAUGAUUAAAGACCCGAAGUUAGAAAUAGUGAUGUGUCUCAAUAGUAAGUUAGGAAUUGGGGUGGACACAAUUGUUGGAAGAAGGAUGGUUUCAGCAAAGGCCCAAGUUAGGUGACAAUUUCAAGUGUUUGUGAAGAUAUAUGAACAAAAUUAUAAAGUAGUUAGGGUAUAAGAAAUAGGGAGGAGGGAAUGAAUUAACAUUUAUGGAGUGUCUUGCAUGUUCCAAGCACUGUACUACUUGCCUUAUAAACCUUUCUUCAAUAAACGCCUACAACAAUCCUGAGAU
rnacentral:lncRNA from 1 species